AGUCAAUGAGCUUUACAUUGGCUGUAAUGACUCACUCCAUCUGAUCUCUAUAUCACAUGUAUUUGCUUGUGAAAAGCUGCUAAACAUUUCGUACAGUAGCUACAUAACAAGACGCAAGAUAUAAACAACAGCAAAGCCUUAUUAGGUAAGUAUCGGAAUAGAAAUAGGCUUCGACCCAGAUGCGCAAUAUGCAUAAUGACAGUCAUUUAUUUAAUCUUUCAGCUUUCUCUAAAAUAUUCAUUUAUUCUGGGGGAAUACCUGAAUGGGUUAAUGCCAUGUGCCCUUCAUCACUAUUAACCCUGCUCCGCCCACAACCGUAAGGCUCUCCAGAGGGUAGUGAGGUCUGCACAACGCAUCACCGGGGGCAAACUACCUGCCGUCCAGGACACCUACACCACCCGAUGUCACAGGAAGGCCAUAAAGAUCAUCAAGGACAACAACCACCCGAGCCACUGCCUGUUCACCCCGCUAUCAUCCAGAAGGCGAGAUAUCUUCCUCAAAAGUUUCCCUGUGCAGGCAGGAGAACUGAAAGACAAACUGUUCUUGGUUAAUGAGGUUGAGGGAGGCUUCUCUGAUGAACAGAUCACUUCCCCGAGGAGAUGUGUAAUAUUCCUUACUUGAGCACCAGACUGGAUCUGCUGAUGACUCUGAGAGAGCUUCCCGUAAGCAUGGAGGAUCUGCAGCCACUGAUUAACCAGAAGAUCAGGAUGUGCACGCAGUUAUGCGGCUCCAGGUCGUUCAUCUCCGUGCUGCAGUACCUGCUGUCCAUCGGCAAUUGCCUCAACAAGAACGCAGGGCAGGGAAAGGCCAAGGGAUUCCGCCUGUCCUCUUUAACUAAACUCUCCCAGGUCCAUGGGACAGACAGGAAGUUCACCUUGCUGCAUGCCCUUGUGGAGCAGAUCAUGUUGCACGAAGCCGGCUUGGCCACUUUUCCCCAAGAGUUGGCGGAAUUCGAAACUGUCCCUGGAGCUUCCAUUAAAGGCCUAACUGCUGAAGUGGAUGAUGAGCGCAUCAUAGUGUGGCGGUGAAGGGAAUUUCCAUUUGUCAGGCAUAUUAUGACGAUUGAGAAGUACAACACAGAUCUCUCCCUGCUGACAAAGAGGUGUGAGGGAAUGAGGAAACUCUACACUGAUAUAUUGGCUAAAUUCGGAGAGCCAAUGGAUCAAGAUUCUCAGGAGCUGUUUGGAUUGGUGUGCCAGUUUGUCAACGACUUCAAGAGGACACAUACUGAAAUCAGAUAACAAUAUUUGCUGUCCUUGAGAUACUAUCUAUGUAAAUUCAGCCAGUCUGAAUAGAAUGUAGUUAUAAUUUGUGUACCACACAAGCUGUGCUAUUUCAGUAGUCAAAAAAACCUGGCAUUCUACUGAGAAACAUAACUCACAGCUGUGACUAAUAUUAUGAUCAGGCGGCUAGACUUGAGUACUGCAAUUUCAGUAGGAAAAUAUUUUAGUGUAC
ensembl:lncRNA